UGGGGAAUAUUGCACAAUGGGCGAAAGCCUGAUGAAGCGACGCCGCGUGGGGGAUGACGGUCUUCGGAUUGUAAACCCCUUUCAGUAGGGACGAAGCGCAAGUGACGGUACCUGCAGAAGAAGCACCGGCCAACUACGUGCCAGCAGCCGCGGUAAUACGUAGGGUGCGAGCGUUGUCCGGAAUUACUGGGCGUAAAGAGCUCGUAGGCGGUUUGUCACGUCGUCUGUGAAAUCCUCCAGCUUAACUGGGGGCGUGCAGGCGAUACGGGCAGACUUGAGUACUACAGGGGAGACUGGAAUUCCUGGUGUAGCGGUGAAAUGCGCAGAUAUCAGGAGGAACACCGGUGGCGAAGGCGGGUCUCUGGGUAGUAACUGACGCUGAGGAGCGAAAGCAUGGGUAGCGAACA
rnacentral:rRNA from 1 species